rnacentral:pre_miRNA from 2 species
UGUUUUGUUGUGUAGCCAAGGAUGACUUGCCGGCCACUGUCUCUCGCCGUGAAACGUUAACCGUGAGACACCGACCGGCAGGUUUUUCUCGCUGGCUACAUGAUAGCCUCG